GAUGAACGCUGGCGGCGUGCUUAACACAUGCAAGUCGAGCGAAGCACUUAUGAAAGAUUCUUCGGAUGAUUUCAUUUGUGACUGAGCGGCGGACGGGUGAGUAACGCGUGGGUAACCUGCCUCAUACAGGGGGAUAACAGUUGGAAACGACUGCUAAUACCGCAUAAGCGCACAGUACCGCAUGGUACCGUGUGAAAAACUCCGGUGGUAUGAGAUGGACCCGCGUCUGAUUAGCUAGUUGGUGGGUUAACGGCCUACCAAGGCGACGAUCAGUAGCCGUCCUGAGAGGUUGACGGGCCACAUUGGGACUGAGACACGGACCAAACUCCUACGGGAGGCAGCAGUGGGGAAUAUUGCACAAUGGGGGAAACCCUGAUGCAGCAACGCCGCGUGAGUGAAGAAGUAUUUCGGUAUGUAAAGCUCUAUCAGCAGGGAAGAAAAUGACGGUACCUGACUAAGAAGCCCCGGCUAACUACGUGCCAGCCGCCGCCGUAA
rnacentral:rRNA from 1 species